rnacentral:rRNA from 1 species
ACGAACGCUGGCGGCCGCCUAACACAUGCAAGUCGAGCGAAGCGGCGAACGGGUGAGUAACGCGUGAGGAACCUGUCUAUGACAGUGGGAUAGCCUCGGGAAACCGGGAUUAAUACCGCAUAGUCAUAGAUGGGCUCGCGUCUGAUUAGCUAAUUGGUGAGAUAACAGCCCACCAAGGCGACGAUCAGUAGCCGGUCGGAGAGGAUGAACGGCCACAUUGGAACUGAGACACGGUCCAAACUCCUACGGGAGGCAGCAGUGGGGAAUAGUGCACAAUGGGGGAAACCCUGAUGCAGCGACGCCGCGUGAACGAAGAAGGUAUUCGUAUCGUAAAGUUCUGUCCUAUGGGAAGCAGUACCAUAGAAGAAAGCUCCGGCUAAAUACGUGCCAGCAGCCGCGGUAAUUC